rnacentral:rRNA from 1 species
UACGUAGGGGGCAAGCGUUUGUCCGGAAUCAUUGGGCGUAAAGAGCGCGUAGGCGGCUAGAUAAGUCCGGUGUGAAAGUCACAGGCUCAACCUGUGAAUGCCGCUGGAAACUGUCUGGCUAGAGUCCGGAAGGGGCGAGUGGAAUUCCCGGUGUAGAGGUGAAAUUCGUAGAUAUCGGGAGGAACACCGGUGGCGAAGGCGGCGACCUGGGUAGAUACUGACGCUGAGGCACGAAAGCGUGGGGAGCAAACAGGG